rnacentral:sRNA from 1 species
AUCGGUUUGAAGUUCAGACCUUAUGAAAGCAGUUUUAGUAAAGCAGUCCUCUGUUCAGGCGUUAUCCUCAGAUACCUCUUCUUCAUGAGUCUCCUCCUAAGUGCCCAUAAGUUUACUUCUGAAAAACAGACCAUUUUCGCCCUGUGUGGCUCAAAAAUUUAAGUAAGGUAUUUGACAUGUCUGACAAAAUGACUGGUUUAGUAAAAUGGUUCAACGCUGAUAAAGGCUUUGGUUUUAUCUCUCCGGCUGACGGCAGCAAAGAUGUAUUCGUACACUUCUCUGCUAUCCAGAGCGAUAACUUCCGUACCCUGGAAGAAGGCCAGAAAGUUGAAUUCACCAUUGAAAAUGGUGCUAAAGGCCCGGCUGCAGCCAACGUUGUUGCGCUGUAAUUACGCCUGAAUUGAUACU